CAUUGCUAUGUCUGGGUAUAAUGUAUGUGUAAAGAGUUGUAAGGGUAGAUAUGUGCAUGGACAAAUAAAAUUAACAUCUGGUUUCAAGGGACAUAAUUUUAAGGUCUGAAAUGUGCACUUUUUUUUUAUUUUUUCACAAAAAAAUUGGUGAAAAAUACCCAUUUACAUGAAAAACAAGUGCAAAAUAAACAAAACAACAAA